GUGGGCGUAGCUCAGUCGGUUAGAGCGCCAGGUUGUGGCCCUGGAGGUCGCGGGUUCGAAUCCCGUCGCUCACC
rnacentral:tRNA from 2 species